AACCAGAGUGAUGAAAAAACCAUCCUUAGGCGUGUGGUUAUGGCCGUCUUGGUCACCUGUAUGCCACUUGCCAAUGCCAGGACUUGUCAUAGUUAACACCGACUGUUG
ensembl:snoRNA predicted gene, 26330